GGGAUAUAAAAAUAAUGCAUUGUAUGCCGGAACGGAUAAAUCUGGGACUGAGUACAAGCAAAACAAGACCAAAGGAAGCUAUCUGAGCAGUCACUGGAGCCCUAAUGAUCGCAGCCAUUUCAGGAAAUGCCAUCAAUUACAGUGAGGAGCUCAUUCAGAAGUGAAAGAUGAGUUCCAUUCUCUGUUACUUAGAGGAACACAAUUAUUUCUGGAAAGAGUAUUACACUCAGUAUUCUGCAUUUCAUAUGGCAUUUCAAAGUCCUGAGAAUGACUCUCCAUAGUCUUCUAUGUACUAAUUAAACAUGAACAUGUGGUAAACAACAUGGACUAUUCCAGUGGACAGAAAGCGUCAAGUUAAAAUGUUUAAGUGCCCCAUAUUUUUCUAAGUAUAUCUGUUUUGUAAAACUUCCCAAACAACUCAUCAAUAUUUAAAUAG
rnacentral:lncRNA from 1 species